GGGGAGGUACCUGGGAGAGGAGGAGGAGGCAGCCUUGCCUCAGAAACCAAACUGUCAAAAGUGUAGGUUCCAC
ensembl:miRNA